GGUGAAUGCCUUGGCGCCAACAGUCGAUGAAGGACGCGGUAAGCUGCGAUAAGCCUCGGUGAGCUGCAAACAAGCUUUGACCCGGGGAUUUCCGAAUGGGGAAACCCGAUGCGGGUAAUACCGCAUCAUCCUGCACUGAAUACAUAGGUGCAGGAAGGCAACUCAGGGAAGUGAACCAUCUCAGUACCUGAAGGAAUAGAAAACAACAGUGAUUCCGCUAGUAGCGGCGAGCGAACGCGGAACAGCCCAAAACCAGGGGAGCUUGCUCUCUGGGGUUGUAGGGCCUGUCUGGCCGUAAGGCCGGCGAGUUAACAACUGGAUCGUUAGUCGAACCCCUCUGGAAAGUGGGACCACAGAAGGUGACAGUCCUGUAGACGAAAACGACUCCAGCUCGCUGGGCAGGUACCUGAGUACCGCGGGACACGAGAAAUCCCGUGGAACCCGCCGGGACCAUCCGGCAAGG
rnacentral:rRNA from 1 species